AUGAGCCGCCGGAUCUCCCAGUGAGGAGGCCGGGGCCGCUGGAUCCGGUGACCCCGUUCUCCUCGCCGGCGGAUCCGGCGCUCCAGAGA
rnacentral:pre_miRNA from 1 species